GCGGUGCUCAACGCCGUCGAGCCGUUGAAACUGGCGUUCUUGAGUGGGCGAGAAGUAUGCGGAAUGCGUGGUGUAGCGGUGAAAUGCAUAGAUAUCACGCAGAACUCCGAUUGCGAAGGCAGCAUACCGGCGCCCUACUGACGCUGAGGCACGAAAGCGUGGGUAUCGAACAGGAUUAGAUACCCUGGUAGUCCACGCAGUAAACGAUGAAUGCUAACUGUCCGGUGCGAGUGAGCGCUGGGCGGUACAGCGAAAGCGUUAAGCAUUCCACCUGGGGAGUACGCCGGCAACGGUGAAACUCAAAGGAAUUGACGGGGGCCCGCACAAGCGGAGGAACAUGUGGUUUAAUUCGAUGAUACGCGAGGAACCUUACCCGGGCUCAAACGCAGGCUGACGGGUCCCGAAAGGGGCCUUUCUUCGGACAUUCUGCGAGGUGCUGCAUGGUUGUCGUCAGCUCGUGCCGUGAGGUGUCGGCUUAAGUGCCAUAACGAGCGCAACCCCUGUCCACAGUUGCCAGCAGGUAAAGCUGGGGACUCUGUGGAGACUGCCGGCGCAAGCUGCGAGGAAGGCGGGGAUGACGUCAAAUCAGCACGGCCCUUACGUCCGGGGCGACACACGUGUUACAAUGGCAGGUACAGCGGGAUGCCACGGGGCGACCCGGCGCUGAACCCGAAAACCUGUCUCAGUUCGGAUUGGAGUCUGCAACCCGACUCCAUGAAGCUGGAUUCGCUAGUAAUCGCGCAUCAGCCACGGCGCGGUGAAUACGUUCCCGGGCCUUGUACACACCGCCCGUCAAGCCAUGGAAGCCGGGGGUACCUGAAGUGCGUGACCGCGAGGAGCGCCCUAGGGUAAAACCGGUGACUGGGGCUAAGUCGUAACAAGGUAACCGUAA
rnacentral:rRNA from 1 species